ACCUGAUGAUGUGGGCAUUUACGGAGUAGGUCCCGAAAGCGCUCCCAGGUCUCAAUGAAAAUUUCCCCAUCCAUUUGUGUGAAUCUCAUGAUUGCCCUCUGUAGCU